GACGAACGCUGGCGGCGUGCUUAACACAUGCAAGUCGAGCGAUGAAGUUCCUUCGGGAAUGGAUUAGCGGCGGACGGGUGAGUAACACGUGGGUAACAUGCCUCAUAGAGGGGAAUAGCCUUUCGAAAGGAAGAUUAAUACCGCAUAAGAUUGUAGCUUCGCAUGAAGCAGCAAUUAAAGGAGUAAUCCGCUAUGAGAUGGACCCGGGUCGCAUUAGCUAGUUGGUGGGGUAACGGCUCACCAAGGCGACGAUGCGUAGCCGACCUGAGAGGGUGAUCGGCCACAUUGGGACUGAGACACGGCCCAGACUCCUACGGGAGGCAGCAGUGGGGAAUAUUGCACAAUGGGGGAAACCCUGAUGCAGCAACGCCGCGUGAGUGAUGACGGUCUUCGGAUUGUAAAACUCUGUCUUCAGGGACGAUAAUGACGGUACCUGAGGAGGAAGCCACGGCUAACUACGUGCCAGCCGCCGCCGUAAAAC
rnacentral:rRNA from 1 species